rnacentral:tRNA from 1 species
GGGGCUCUAGCUCAUCCGGGAGAGCGCCACACUGGCAGUGUGGAGGUACGGGGUUCGAGUCCCCGGAGCUCCACCC